CCUGCACGAAGUUGGAAUUGCUAGUAAUCGCGGAUCAGCAUGCCGCGGUGAAUACGUUCCCGGGUCUUGUACACACCGCCCGUCACACCAUGAGAGUCGGGAACACCCGAAGUCCGUAGCCUAACAGCAAUGAGGGCGCGGCCGAAGGUGGGUUCGAUAAUUGGGGUGAAGUCGUAACAAGGUAAC
rnacentral:rRNA from 1 species